GCUUAAUAAUUUAAAAAAAAUAUUUACCUUGAAAGUAAAAAACGUUGGGCACUUAAGCUUA
rnacentral:tRNA from 1 species